rnacentral:rRNA from 1 species
AACUAACGCUGGCGGCGCGCCUAAUACAUGCAAGUCGAACGAUGUAGCAAUACAUAGUGGCGCACGGGAGAGUAACACGUGGAUAAUCUCCCCUCGAGAGAGGAAUAACUAGUCGAAAGAUUGGCUAAUACUUCAUAAGACCACAGAAACUAAUGUUUCAGGGGUAAAAGUCGUAAGACGCUUGAGGAUGAGUCUGCGUCCCAUUAGCUAGUUGGUGAGGUAACGGCUCACCAAGGCGACGAUGGGUAGCUGGUCUGAGAGGAUGAUCAGCCUCACUGGAACUGACACACGGUCCAGACUCCUACGGGAGGCAGCAGUAGGGAAUAUUGCACAAUGGGCGAAAGCCUGAUGCAGCGACGCCGCCGUGAGUGAUGAAGGACUUCGGUUUGUAAGACUCUGUUGUCA